GUCAGCCCAAGUUGCCACAUGAGCGAAUCUGAGUGCUUGAGAACACCAAGCAAAAUCUCUGCAGAAGCUACCGAGCAGGUGCAUGAAGAAGUCUGAGAUGUGUUUCAGUAUCACUGAGUCCUGUAGAGAACCAUCACUCAGUCCUGUAGAGAACCGGUCCUAAAUGCGGUUUUGUCUCGACAUUGCUGCUGCUGCUGCAGAGCUGCCACUGCCAAGGCGUGUCGGGCAAUGCCGCACCGGUGCCCCCGGGGAGCCGUCCACAAGGAGACCGCCAGAUGACCCCAGCCUGUUUCUGGAAGGUUCCGGGAGGGCGGAGUACGCAUGACAGCUAAUCUGCAUGGGAAGUGAGGAAGCAUCUCCCAGAGGCGGGGCAGGAACCUAUAAAAAACUGCAGACUGUGCGACUGCCCCCCCCGGGGGAGGGGCUUGUUUGCGACAUCUGAAGAUCUGGAGUGGAGUCAACGGAACAUCAUCGGACUUGGA